rnacentral:rRNA from 1 species
UCCUCAUUUUAUAAUUUGAGGUAUGGCCUGCUCAAUGCGAUUUACGUAAAUAGCCGCAGUAUUUUGACUGUGCGAAGGUAGCAUAAUAAAUUGGCCUUUAAUUGAGGUCUGGAAUGAAUGGCUCGACAAGGAUUUGACUGUCUUAAAAUGAGAUUUUUUGAAAUUGAAUUGUUUGUUAAAAUGCAAACAUAAGAGAGAGGGACGAGAAGACCCUAUAGAUCUUUAAAAUAAUAGUGAAAAAAGUUUUUUACUGUUUUUUUUAUUUGGGGAGAAUCCUGAAAUAGAGUACAAAAGAAAACUUCGGUUAAAAAGAUUUGAAAAAUUAUGAUGAUUAAAGUUUGAUCCACUAUAUGUGAAAAAAUGAAAAAGUUACCUUAGGGAUAACAGGACAAUGAUUUUCUAUUAGAGACCUUAUCUUAGAGAACGUUUGUUACCUCGAUGUUGAAUUAAGUUAUCUGAUCAAAGAAGAAGUUCUUAAAGUUGGUCUGUUCGACCAUUGAAAAC